CUCCAUCGAUGAUGUUUUACUUUUACCUACAUUGUUUGACUGAGUGUGAUAGAAACCUAAUUUCUGAGGUGGAG